GACGAACGCUGGCGGCGUGCCUAAUACAUGCAAGUAGAACGCAGUUGCGAACGGGCGAGUAACGCGUAGGUAACUGCCUCAUAGCGGGGGAUAACUAGUGGAAACUAUAGCUAAUACCGCAUACUGUUACGCGGACCUGCUUUGUAUUGGUUAGUUGGGGAGGUUAAGGCUCACCAAGGGGACGAUACAUAGCCGACCUGAGAGGUGGGUGCGGCACACUGGGACUUGGAAACGGGCCCGGCUCCGACUGGAGGCCGCCGUAGGGAAUGUUUGGAAAUGGACGGAAGUCUUACCGAGCAACGCCGGGGGAGUGAAGAAGGUUUUCGGGGCGUAAAGCUCCGUUGUUAGAGGAGCGGUAACUAAACAGAAAGGGACGGCUAACUACGUGCCAGCAGCCGCGGUAAUUC
rnacentral:rRNA from 1 species